AAUCUGUUAAAUUAGAGGCUCAUUCACUAAACACAGGAUCAAAAACCCCUGCCCUUGUAACCGAUGCCCGUUUGACGAAUACCCCCUCCAAAACUACCCCUUUUAUAGAUGCCUCUUUGAAAAAUACCCCCAGUAUCACUAGUAGUCAAAAGAAGGAGAAUUUCCCUUUUAUGAGGGCUUUGAGAACCAUAGAGAAUAAGAGUGAUCCUUGUGGAGGAAAGUAUAUUUAUGUCCAUGAUUUGCCUCCUAGGUUUAAUGAGGAUAUGCUGAAGGAGUGUAGGAGCUUGAGUGUUUGGACCAAUAUGUGUAAGUUUACUAGUAAUGCCGGGCUGGGGCCCCCACUGGAGAAUGUUGAAGGGGUGUUUUCAAAUACAGGGUGGUAUGCCACAAAUCAGUUUGCGGUGGAUGUGAUAUUCAGUAAUAGGAUGAAGCAGUAUGAGUGCUUGACGAAUGAUUCUUCCAUUGCUGCAGCAAUUUUUGUACCAUUCUAUGCAGGGUUUGAUAUUGCAAGGUAUCUUUGGGGAUAUAAUAUCUCAACCAGAGACGCUGCUUCUCUUGAGUUGGUCGAUUGGCUUAUGAAGAGACCAGAGUGGAGGAUUAUGGGAGGCAAGGAUCAUUUUCUGGUGGCAGGGAGGAUAACUUGGGAUUUCAGGAGGUUAACAGACGAGGAAUCAGAUUGGGGAAACAAACUACUCUUUUUGCCUGCUGCAAAAAAUAUGUCAAUGCUUGUGGUUGAAUCCAGUCCAUGGAAUGCAAAUGAUUUUGGCAUUCCUUAUCCUACCUAUUUCCAUCCUGCAAAGGAUGAUGAUGUGUUUAUUUGGCAAGAGCGGAUGAGGAAUUUAGAAAGAAAAUGGCUUUUCUCUUUUGCUGGGGCACCACGUCAUGAUAAUCCAAAAUCAAUCAGGGGCCAGAUCAUAGAUCAGUGUAAGAAGUCAAAGGUAGGCAAGCUGUUGGAAUGUGAUUUUGGAGAGAGCAAAUGUCAUUCUCCAAGCAGUAUAAUGCAGAUGUUUCAGAGCUCCCUUUUCUGCUUGCAACCCCAGGGUGAUUCAUAUACACGAAGGUCAGCUUUUGACUCAAUGUUGGCAGGUUGCAUUCCUGUCUUCUUUCACCCUGGCUCAGCUUACACACAAUAUACUUGGCAUCUUCCAAAGAACUAUACUACUUAUUCGUUAUUUAUUCCAGAGGAUGAUAUCCGUAAAAGAAAUGUUAGCAUUGAGGAAGUGCUUAGUAAGAUUCCUCCUGAGCAGGUGAAGAUCAUGAGGGAGAAAGUCAUAAGUCUCAUCCCAGGGCUUAUAUAUGCAGAUCCUCGCUCAAAAUUGGAGACUCUUAAAGAUUCUUUUGAUGUUGCUGUUCAGGCAGUCAUUGACAAAGUUACAAGGUUGAGGAGAAACAUUAUUCAGGGCCGUACAGAAUAUGAUAAUUUUGUGGAGGAGAACAGUUGGAAAUAUGAAUUGUUGGAUGAAGGACAGCGUGAGGUGGGAGCUCAUGAAUGGGAUCCCUUCUUCUCAAAACCAAAGGAUGGCAAUAGUGAUUCUGGUGGUUCAUCUGCGGAAGCUGCCAAAAACUCAUGGAAGAAUGAGCAGAGAGAUCAAUCAUGAGAUCAAGGUGAUAGUAGCAAUGGAAGUUGGAGUAAUUCCUAAUGUACAAAAGGGCAAAGAACGAGACUGCCCACCCUGGUGUCGGUAGGUCGGACAAGGAUCCUUUAGGUCCCUUGCAAAUUGCAGUGAAAACGUAGGAAUCACAAUCAAGUUUAUCAGCUCAGUUCCUUGUUUGUCAAAGAGAAAUACAGAUUCAUGUUAUCUAUUUCUAACAUACUUAUAUAAUGGAAAUUUUCCUUUCACCUUUUGUGUUAUUGAUUUCGAUUAACAAUUCUUUGUAUUUUAUUGUAGCUGACGUAUCAUCUUUUUGUUUCUUUUCCUAUUAUUACAUAGAAGAAAUAAAAACAAUCAGUGUUCAAUAA
rnacentral:misc_RNA from 1 species